GUUGUCUUCUCCAAGGGGUGUGUCGGCGCCGUUCUUUUCUCUGCUGUGGGUCUGAACUGGAUCGGAGCUUUGUGUGCCUUCGCAUAGGCGGGGGUCCUUGGACAGGUUGGCGCCUCGGUUACGGUUGUUGGUGAUGUUAGAAUACCAGACUUUGCUAAAGAAAUAUUGGAGAAGGGACCUGCGUAUGCAUUGCAGAAACAAGCCUCUAUGUGGGAUGAUAUCCCAAUCUUUGAGAGUUUAAUUAGCCAGCAGGAUGAUUUAAGUAAGGAAUGCUUAAGAUGGGAAUUCGUAAGGCAAAAAGAAGCGGAAAGUAGGAAGUCACGAGGCUUAGUAAAAAUGGAGUUGAGAAAGGACUGGCUAAAUGUUAAAAAAACCCUGAAAUGGAUGGAUCAGGAAAAUUUGGUGAUGACCAGAGAAGAUAAGACGAAGAAGAUGGUUAUUAUGGAUAGGUCAGCCUACGAUGAG
rnacentral:lncRNA from 1 species